GCCAGGCAUGGUGGUGUACACCUGUAGUCCCAGCUACUCAGGAGGCUGAGACAGGAAGAUUGCUUGAGCCCAGGAGGUCAAGGCUGCAGUGAGCCAUGAUCACACUACUGCACUCCUGCCUGGGCAACAGAGUGAGACCCUGUCUCAA
rnacentral:SRP_RNA from 1 species